rnacentral:snRNA from 1 species
CAUCUCUUGGGUUUGAACAGUCAAACGAGAAAUUUUUUCGCCUUUUACUAAAAAAUUCCGUGUUCAAACCCAUUCAAGAGUAUAACUUGAAUUUUUGGAGGCUUCCCUACGGGGAAGCG